CGGACGGGUGAGUAAUGUCUGGGAAACUGCCCGAUGGAGGGGGAUAACUACUGGAAACGGUAGCUAAUACCGCAUAACGUCGCAAGACCAAGAGGGGACCUUCGGGCCUCUUGCCAUCGGAUGUGCCCAUAUGGGAUUAGCUUGUAGGUAAGGUAACGGCUUACCUAGGCGACGAUCCCUAGCUGGUCUGAGAGGAUGAUCAGCCACACUGGGACUGAGACACGGCCCAG
rnacentral:rRNA from 1 species